GAAAAUGCGUUGAACGGGAAAAGUACCUUAAAAAGUUGCCUUACAGGGACAAAAGGCCGGAGACUGGAAGCCUUUUGAAGGCAAUUUUAAGGGAAGUUCACCCGGGAGCAGCCGCCUGAAAUUUACAGUAGGGUGAGCCGGCGACUUCAACCGUUAUCUUGAAGCAGGUAUCAGCAGUUAAAUUUUGCUUGUACCUGGUAGAGUGAGUAACCUUGUUGGAUACUAAAUAGGGUGGUACCGCGGAAUAUAACUUUCGUCCCUUGU
rnacentral:ncRNA from 1 species